AUGCAAAAUAACUGCCAAUUUGAGGAGGACAUAAAAAGCUUUGGUUUGUUUAUCCCCUUGUUAAAAUCUAUUUUGGAUCAACCAUUACGAGUUCUGUACUGAAGUAUAACCUCUGUGGCUUCCUCCAAUAUCUAGAGAUAUUAAGGGUCAAAGGUCAGGGAUAGUUAGAGAUAUUAUAGAUAAGGUAUUUUUUUGUUCAAGCAGAGAGAUGAAUAAAAAAGAAUGAUGGAUGUAAAUAUGGUUAGUAAGAACACAUUGGUCCUGUUUAAAUGUAAAAUAAGGUUAAUAAGAACACAUUGGUCCUGUUUAAAUGUAAAAUAAGGUUAAUAAGAACACAUUGGUCCUGUUUAAAUGUAAAAUAAGGUUAAUAAGAACACAUUGGUCCUGUUUAAAUGUAAAAUAAGGUUAGUAAGAACACAUUGGUCCUGUUUAAAUGUAAAAUAAGGUUAAUAAGAACACAUUGGUCCUGUUUAAAUGUAAAAUAAGGUUAAUAAGAACACAUUGGUCCUGUUUAAAUGUAAAAUAAGGUUAAUAAGAACACAUUGGUCCUGUUUAAAUGUAAAAUAAGGUUAAUAAGAACACAUUGGUCCUGUUUAAAUGUAAAAUAAGGUUAAUAAGAACACAUUGGUCCUGUUUAAAUGUAAAAUAAGGUUAGUAAGAACACAUUGGUCCUGUU